rnacentral:rRNA from 1 species
CCUAAGGUAGCGAAAUUCCUUGUCGGGUAAGUUCCGACCUGCACGAAUGGAGUAAUGAUGGCCACACUGUCUCCUCCAGAGACUCAGCGAAGUUGAAAUGUUUGUGAUGAUGCAAUCUCCCCGCGGAAAGACGGAAAGACCCCAUGAACCUUUACUGUAGCUUUACAUUGGACUUUGAACAGAUCUGUGUAGGAUAGGUGGGAGGCUUUGAAGCGGUGCCGCUAGGUGUCGUGGAGCCAACGUUGAAAUACCACCCUGGUGUGUUUGAGGUUCUAACCUUGGCCCGUUAUCCGGGUUGGGGACAGUGUAUGGUGGGCAGUUUGACUGGGGCGGUCUCCUCCCAAAGCGUAACGGAGGAGUUCGAAGGUACGCUAGGCACGGUCGGAAAUCGUGCUGAUAGUGCAUUGGCAUAAGCGUGCUUGACUGCGAGACUGACAAGUCGAGCAGGUACGAAAGUAGGACAAAGUGAUCCGGUGGUUCUGUAUGGAAGGGCCAUCGCUCAACGGAUAAAAGGUACUCUGGGGAUAACAGGCUGAUACCGCCCAAGAGUUCAUAUCGACGGCGGUGUUUGGCACCUCGAUGUCGGCUCAUCUCAUCCUGGGGCUGUAGCCGGUCCCAAGGGUAUGGCUGUUCGCCAUUUAAAGAGGUACGUGAGCUGGGUUUAAAACGUCGUGAGACAGUUUGGUCCCUAUCUUCCGUGGGCGCUGCAAGAUUGAGAGAGCCUGCUCCUAGUACGAGAGGACCGGAGUGGACGCACCUCUGGUGUAUCGGUUGUCACGCCAGUGGCAUUGCCGAGUAGCUAAGUGCGGAAGAGAUAACCGCUGAAAGCAUCUAAGCGGGAAACUCGUCUCAAGAUGAGUCUUGCCGGGGCCUUGAGCCCCCUGAAGGGUCGUUCGAGACCAGGACGUUGAUAGGCUGGGUGUGGAAGCGCAGUAAUGCGUUAAGCUAACCAGUACUAAUUGCCCGUGAGGCUUGACCCU